UGCAAAGACCCUCGGAUGGGAGAAGG
rnacentral:piRNA from 1 species